rnacentral:rRNA from 1 species
UGGGGAAUUUUGGACAAUGGGCGAAAGCCUGAUCCAGCCAUGCCGCGUGAGUGAAGAAGGCCUUCGGGUUGUAAAGCUCUUUUAGUCGGAAAGAAAGAGUUGCAAUGAAUAAUUGUGAUUUAUGACGGUACCGACAGAAAAAGCACCGGCUAACUACGUGCCAGCAGCCGCGGUAAUACGUAGGGUGCGAGCGUUAAUCGGAAUUACUGGGCGUAAAGGGUGCGCAGGCGGUCUUGCAAGUCAGAUGUGAAAGCCCCGGGCUUAACCUGGGAAUUGCGUUUGAAACUACAAGACUAGAGUGCAGCAGAGGGGAGUGGAAUUCCAUGUGUAGCAGUGAAAUGCGUAGAGAUGUGGAAGAACACCGAUGGCGAAGGCAGCUCCCUGGGUUGACACUGACGCUCAUGCACGGAAGCGUGGGGAGCAAACA